rnacentral:lncRNA from 1 species
ACAAGCAAAGGAAGGCUGGACAGGGCACCUUCGGCAGCACCUUCGGCGGCUGAAUGUCUCCUCCAGAGACGAAAGUCGGGCAUGUUCGGCGGCCGAAUCCUUCUUCGGCUGCCGAACCUGAGUUCAUCCAGAACUCAGCUUCGUGCAUAAACACGCCUUCCAGUCCCUCCAAUCCUUCCCAAUAUGCAUCCAACCUCUCUAACUCCUCUAUAUCCC